CCAGAGACUUCCACGGCUUUCAUAUGCUCGUUGAGACCCAGAAAAGCCGAGACCUCCACGGCUUCUAUUCGUUGGUUCCGUCGGAGCAGUACCGGAUGGGAAAGCAGCAAGGGCGACGCCUUCACCUACCCGUGCAUGUUCAGCCGCGGCCAACCAUUGGCUUUCCUCUUGGACAGCCAAUUGGAAGAUCCGGCCAAGCGACGGUACAGGGUCCAUGGCGAGGAUUUGCGAGCGGAAAGGUGAGUAACUUUCGUUGAGUAUCAGCAAAAAUCAAGUCGUCUUCUCUCUGUCCUUUAUGGCCCGGUACUGUCGGAGCGUUUCUUCUGGUCCUUCGAGUUGCUCUUCGGCCGCCUCGAGCUCAUUCCACAGAGCCGAGAGUCGAUUGAAGCAAGCGGUAACCGACGAGUUCCCUUGCUUCAAUUCCGACAGAGCCUGUGUGAGUGAGAAAAUCUUGGUUCGGUCAAGUUUUCCAUACAUUUCUCGGAUAUUAUCCCAAAUCGUCUUCGAGUCUUUAGUCGGUGGUAGUCCGACUGCAACGUCGGGGGUCAAACAAUUUCCGAUCCAUGUGCGGACGAGCUGGUUGCAUUUGCGCCAAUGACGUUGUAAUCGAUCGUCGGACGGGAAGGCCGGUGAUGUAUAGAGCGGGUCACCAGGCUCCGGGCGGCCGCCGCUAGUCGGAACAACAUAGGGCAUGAAACCGGGUCCCAAUACCGGGUAGGGAUUUCCCCCUGGACCUGGACCCAAACCCGGCGUCGGCCCACUUUCAUUGGGCUGAGCUCCGGGAUUUGGAGCUCCCGGUGACGUGUAUUGGGCCCAUGAUUGAUUUGGCCCGAUGGCCCAUGGGCCUUGCACUGGAAACCAUUGGACUGGUGGCCAUUGGACGGGGCCGGGAAUCUGAGCAGCAGAAGUGAUAGCAGGAUCCGAGUCAGGCGCAGCAGAAGUAGGAACGGCAAAAGAUCGUUCCUCUUCAAUUAAAUCAAUUUGAUCCGAGGUUUGAUUUUGAGGACUAAACUUGCAACAGCAAAUCAGAAAAAAACGGAGGCAAUUUGAAGGACUUUUCUGCGGAAGCUAGGUCAAGAAAGACCGCUCUGAUACCAUGACAGAAAACAAAGAAAAUGGAGGAAAUUUUGUAUUGUAUUGAUCUGAAAAGAUUACAUGUACAUUGGUCUA